rnacentral:tmRNA from 1 species
GGGGAUGUAAAGGCUUCGACGGGGACUUCGAAACAUAAUAAGCGGGUAGAGAUGCGCUAAUCUCUUUAAACGGCGCACGUUUUAAAAUUAGACGACAACAAUAAUUUUGAAUUAGCAGCUGCUUAAUUGCUGCUCGUCUGACCGUUGAGUACCACGGCUUCGGAUCAGGCGCCGAUUAGUGGUGAACGUUACGGAAAAGCGCCUGCGUUUCCGUAAUGUAUUGCAGGCUACCAAGUCUUGCUGUGUGUUUGUUCACGGCUUGACGAGGGAACGUUAACAACAAACUACACCCGUAGAAAGUUGUGCGGAUAGGUUUUCGGACACGGGUUCGAUUCCCGUCAUCUCCACCA